rnacentral:lncRNA from 1 species
CAUAGAGGCAGGAGCAAAAAGUUUAGGAAUCAUAGACACGUCAGGACAAAAUUUACACUUUCUGGCCAUCUUGUACAUUUCAUAAGCAUGCAGAUUUUAUAAAUGGGAUUUUCUUGAAGGAAAGCAAAACUAAAGAUUUCCCCAAACUGUUGAAAAUUUGCCAGCGGACAGAGAGGAAUUUUCCUAUUCUUUUCACCCUGGGUCUACCUCUGUCCUUUUUUAGUAAAGUGAUGGUGUGGACUUGUCUGAAGCCAAGCAGAUGGUCACUCGUUGCCUCUGCUCCUUCCUGGGCAUCAGGCUGCAAUUCUCAAACUUCUGAACAAGUCGCACCUUCUCCAAAAUGUGGUCCCGGAAAGGAAGGAAUUAAGAAUUCUGCAAUCCCCGUCUUUUUUUUUUUUUGCAAGAAAAGCAUCUUCAGGGACCCAGCUGACACUUCUUAUUUCGGGUCCUGCCUCCCCAGCAGCAGUCUGCAACUUGCCGGCAUCCAGGCAGGACGGCGGCCACAGAGCAGAGGAGAGAGUCCCAGCAACCUGGUCAACUGCAGAGGCUACCACGGUGCCGUCGGCUUCUCCUCUUUACCCUUGCUGGAGUCUGAGUCUCUGAUUCCCGCCCGCCUGGCUUCUCCAAGCUCCCCGUCCCCCAUCUCCUUGCCCACCCACCCUCUGCAAAGGACCCCGGGGCUGGUUCCUUGGCAGAAGCCCUGUCUCCCGACAAGAUGGGAAGUGAUGUCACGCUGCGCACAGGAGCCUGCUCUUCUGGGGAUGUUCACGGGUGUGACACAGUUCAGAGACUGUUGCCUCUCACUGACCUGGACCUUGGACUUCCAGAGGAAGAGCCUUGGCACUGGCGGCCGCUUCUUCCCAUCGCUCGCGCCUGUCCAGAAUGACACCAGGAGCCCUCCUGUUCAAUCUGGGACAGGCACAGCACUGCGGCUGCCAGUCUUCCUGCCAAGGACAUGGGGACAGGCCGCUCUCCGGGGGACUGCCUGCACCCUCCAGGCAGAGCCAACUGGCCAGCCAAGUCCCUGUGGCUUCUCCGGGGACUAAGACAUAAGAAAAGAUCUGACUAAGGAUCAGAACUUGUCUUUCCUUUUGUGCAUGUGAACUUUAACCCCACAAAUGCAAGAUACUUAGAAAUCAUCUGGUCCAAGGCCCAGAGUCAGAGAUGAGGAUGGUGAGGCUCACAGAUUAACUGACUUGCCCAAGGACAUGGGACGCUCAGGGCAGACCUGGGAGUCCCUGGAAAAUGUUCCGACCUGGCAUGUGGGACAAGGAUGAAAUCAUCAGCCCUGGACCCAUCAGGCGCCCCAACUCAGGUGAAGUAGGACAAG